UACGAAGGGGGCUAGCGUUGUUCGGAAUCACUGGGCGUAAAGCGCACGCAGGCGGAUUGAUAAGUCAGGGGUGAAAUCCCGGAGCUCAACUUCGGAAUUGCCUUUGAUACUGUCUGUCUUGAGUCCGGGAGAGGUGAGUGGAAUUCCGAGUGUAGAGGUGAAAUUCGUAGAUAUUCGGAGGAACACCAGAAGCGAAGGCGGCCAACUGGCCCGAUACUGACGCUGAGGCGCGAAAGCGUGGGGAGCAAACAGG
rnacentral:rRNA from 1 species